rnacentral:rRNA from 1 species
AACGUUAAUCGGGACAGGGUUAGUCGGCCCCUAAGGCGAGGCUGAGAAGCGUAGUCGAUGGGAAACAGGUUAAUAUUCCUGUACUUGUUGUAACUGCGAUGUAGUGACGGAGAAAGCUAAAUCAGCCUGGCGUAUGGUUGUCCAGGUGAAAGCGUGUAGGUAGUGUGUGUAGGCAAAUCCGCAUGCAUGUUGAUCUGAGGCGUGACGACGAGACUUCUUAUAUGAAGUUGAAGUGAUUGAUGCUCUGCUUCCAGGAAAAACUACUAAGCUUCAGGUUACAAGAAGCCGUACCCCAAACCAACACUGGUGGAUAGGUAGAGAAUACUAAGGCAAUGAGAGAACUCAGGUGAAGGAACUAGGCAAAAUAGCACCGUAACUUCGGGAGAAGGUGUGCCCUUUGUAUGUGAAAGCCCUGCGGCUGGAGCAGAAGAGGGUUGCAGUGACCAGGUGGCCGCGACUGUUUACUAAAAACACAGCACUCUGCAAACUCGUAAGAGGAAGUAUAGGGUGUGACGCC